GACGAACGCUGGCGGCGUGCUUAACACAUGCAAGUCGAACGGAAAGGCCCUGCUUUUGUGGGGUGCUCGAGUGGCGAACGGGUGAGUAACACGUGAGUAACCUGCCCUUGACUUUGGGAUAACUUCAGGAAACUGGGGCUAAUACCGGAUAGGAGCUCCUGCUGCAUGGUGGGGGUUGGAAAGUUUCGGCGGUUGGGGAUGGACUCGCGGCUUAUCAGCUUGUUGGUGGGGUAGUGGCUUACCAAGGCUUUGACGGGUAGCCGGCCUGAGAGGGUGACCGGCCACAUUGGGACUGAGAUACGGCCCAGAAUCCUACGGGAGGCAGAAGUGGGGAGUAUUGCACAAUGGGCGGAAGCCUGAUGCAGCAACGCCGCGUGCGGGAUGACGGCCUUCGGGUUGUAAACCGCUUUCGCCUGUGACGAAGCGUGAGUGACGGUAAUGGGUAAAGAAGCACCGGCUAACUACGUG
rnacentral:rRNA from 1 species